rnacentral:tRNA from 1 species
GGGGAUAUAGUUUAAUGGCAUAAGCAUCUGCUUGGCAAGCACAAGGUUGUGAGUUAAAUUCCCAGUACCACCA